UACGGAGGAUGCGAGCGUUAUCCGGAUUUAUUGGGUUUAAAGGGUGCGUAGGCGGACUGUCAAGUCAGCGGUAAAAUUGAGAGGCUCAACCUCUUCCCGCCGUUGAAACUGGUGGUCUUGAGUGGAUGAGAAGUACGCGGAAUGCGUGGUGUAGCGGUGAAAUGCAUAGAUAUCACGCAGAACUCCGAUUGCGAAGGCAGCGUACCGGCAUCCAACUGACGCUGAGGCACGAAAGCAUGGGGAUCAAACAGG
rnacentral:rRNA from 1 species